AAAAAAAAAAACAAGUCAGACAUUUUUAUCUGUGUCCAAGAUAACCCUGUUAAUAAAUACAUGCUACUUCAGUCAAUCAAUAGUGUCUGAAAUUUACAUAGAAAGGCAGCAGUUGUCCUAAGAUAACACUAUCAGUAGAAACAUGAAACUUCAGUUAGUCAUUCGAUUCUCAUGUUUACAUAAACGAUGAGGGUGUCGAGUCAGCUAGUCGUAGAGGAUCUUAUGAAAUAAACAUUUUUUAACUUAGGAGCAUGAUUAUGUUGCUAAUAUAAUGUCCAUCUUCAACUACAAGGCAGGGUUGUUCUUGCCAGGAGAGAAAACCACUGUGAAUGCAAUGCAGUAAUUUAGCAGCAGACGCUAAGGUCCUGCAUGUUGGAUUCGUCUACCAAGCACAUUAUCACAGAAUGCACUUUGACAGCAGUUGAUGAUGGUGAAGAAACUUUUCCACACAGCUCAGAAAUGUCAGUCCACUGUACUGUCUCUCUACAACUCAACCAAAUGAAAACAUGGCAGAUGUAUGUUCUGUGUAUGUUGACAACAGAAUCAAAA